rnacentral:rRNA from 1 species
GAUGAACGCUGGCGGCGUGCCUAACACAUGCAAGUCGAACGGACAGACGAGGAGUUUGUGCGUUUGACGUUAGCGGAGGGCGGGUGAGUAACGCGUGGAUCACCCACUUAUAUUUCGGGGAAAAUCACGGAAAGGCGGUGAUAAUACCAGAGAAUAUAAUGAACCGUAGGGUGCAUUGGAGAAUGACGGCUUUGGUGGCUGGAAUAGAUGGAUCCGCGCCGGAUUGGCUGGUUGGUAGGGUCACGGCUUACCAAGGCUACGAUGCGUAGCCGAGCUGAGGGGGUGAUCGGCCACACUGGAACUGAGACACGGUCCAGACUCCUACGGGAGGCAGCAGUGGGGAAUGUUCCGCAAUGGGCGCAAGCCUGACGCAGCCACGCCGCGUGAGUGAUGAAGGUCUUCGGAUCGUAAAGCCCUUUUAUUGGGGAAGAACAGAUGUGUAAUUAAACAUAGCCGUCUUGACGGUACCUAAUAAAGAAGCACCGGCUAACUACGUG